rnacentral:rRNA from 1 species
GGAGAGGGAGCCUGAGAAACGGCUACCACAUCUAAGGAAGGCAGCAGGCGCGUAAAUUACCCACUCCCAGUUCGGGGAGGUAGUGACGAAAAAUAACAAUACAGGACUCAUAUCCGAGGCCCUGUAAUUGGAAUGAGUACACUUUAAAUCCUUUAACAAGGACCUAUUGGAGGGCAAGUCUGGUGCCAGCAGCCGCGGUAAUUCCAGCUCCAAUAGCGUAUAUUAAAGUUGUUGCGGUUAAAACGUUCGUAGUUGAAUUUGUGCUUCAUACGGGUAGUACAACUAUAAUUGUGGUUUGUACAUUACCUUAUGUAUGCAAGCGUAUUACCGGUGGAGUUCUUAUAUAUAAUUAUACUUGUAUUUUUAUAUAUACCUCCUAUUUAAACCUGCUUCAGUGCUCUUCAUCGAGUGUUGUUGUGGGCCGGUACAAUUACUUUGAACAAAUUAGAGUGCUUAAAGCAGGCUCCAAAUGCCUGAAUAUUUUGUGCAUGGAAUAAUGAAAUAAGACCUCUGAUCUACUUUCAUUGGUUUUUAGAUCAAGAGGUAAUGAUUAAUAGAAGCAGUUUGGGGGCAUUAGUAUUACGACGCGAGAGGUGAAAUUCUUGGACCGUCGUAAGACUAACUUAAGCGAAAGCAUUUGCCAAAGAUGUUUUCAUUAAUCAAGAACGAAAGUUAGAGGU